rnacentral:ribozyme from 1 species
UAUAAAAAGACGGAGGAGGUAAAGUGGGCAUAGAAAAUGUGCAUACCCUCACUGUCCAGGAAUAUAAAAUAGAUUUCUCUGUUUGCUUUUAUUUUUUUUUAUUUUUUUAGUGGAUCAUGGCAAAAGAAGACAGAAAGGU